UACGUAGGGUGCAAGCGUUGUCCGGAAUUAUUGGGCGUAAAGAGCUCGUAGGCGGUCUGUCGCGUCGGCUGUGAAAACUCACAGCUUAACUGUGAGCUUGCGGUCGAUACGGGCAGGCUAGAGUUCGGUAGGGGAGACUGGAAUUCCUGGUGUAGCGGUGAAAUGCGCAGAUAUCAGGAGGAACACCGGUGGCGAAGGCGGGUCUCUGGGCCGAUACUGACGCUGAGGAGCGAAAGCGUGGGGAGCGAAUGGG
rnacentral:rRNA from 1 species